rnacentral:tRNA from 2 species
GGCCUUGGGGUGUCAACACGUGGGGUUGCAAACCCCAAGAUGCAGUAUAAUACCUGCCGGGGCUU